ACGAAACUUGCCCCGAGAUGAGUUCUCCCUGACCCUUUAAGGGUCCUGAAGGAACGUUGAAGACGACGACGUUGAUAGGCCGGGUGUGUAAGCGCAGCGAUGCGUUGAGCUAACCGGUACUAAUGAACCGUGAGGCUUAACCUU
rnacentral:rRNA from 1 species